GGAAACACCAGUGGUCUCAGGCGGCGGCUGAGGGACGGCAGCUCCCCCUAUCCCCGAGCCUUUGCGCCCCCUCCCCGGGUAAGGGAGCGGCCGCAGCGCAGCCCGGCCCACCAGCAGGCUAUUUUUCUACAAUUUGGACAUUUUUCUCAGAGGUCUUUAUUUGUGCCCACUGAGGUAACAGAUGUGGAUACGUCUAAUUGACCUCCAGAAGGACAGAGUGCAAGGGGUGGCUGUGUCAGGCAUACCCAGCCACUGAUCUCCCUUUGCGCAGGCAGCGGCACUGAAAACCAGUUCCAGCCCAAGUUUAGAUGACAAACACCCUUAUCUGAUGCCUGCAAAGAGCAGCUGGUUGCUUCCAUUCUGCCUAAGCUUCUCAUUACUGUCAAUGGACUUUACUUCUCAAGAAUUCCAUGACGUAGAGAAAGUAUUAUCAUUCCCACUUUCAAGAUGAGAAAUUGCAGCAUAAAGAAGGAGUAUAGCUUGCCUCACAUCAUACAUAUAAUAUGUGGUAAACCCAGAAACUUAAUCCAGAGUUUGGGUGCAGAUCCAGUCCAUCUAACAAGAAGUUAAUUUUCUUUCUCAAGCUCUGUCUCAGGACUCCAUUCCUGAAGAAUUCUUGGGAGAAGGAGCAAAGUAAUGUUGAAGAAGAUAUGCUAACAGAAAUUCUGUGAAGCUAGUUAGUGCAGGAAAAAAAAUGUGUAGUUAAAUGGAAGUGAUUCAAGCAGCAUAAUUACAUGUAAAACUUCUGCAGAAACAUUAUCCCAGUUUGGGAAGUGUACAAACCAAGAAGCGAAAACCAUGUAACAUGUCACUUUGAUAUUGUGUAUUUAAGACGUAGUGUAAGUAAGAACUUCUGCCUUUUGUUGGCCAAAUUUCAGUUGGGAGCAGGUGAAUCACAGGAACAUCGCAGGAAAUCUUAGGCCAAAGCUGCUAACAUGUUAACAAUUCCCACGAAGGACUGUCCGCAUUAGGAGUACCACUGUAUUCUAAAGAUUUCUGGCAUUUUCAUCAGACCCUGUGGUAACACAAAGUUGGAACUGUUUCCUGCAGCAAUUCCCAUCAAGGAACAAAGAUAUGUCAAGUCGUGCAUCCACAGUCAUCUCUGUUAGAUGGUUCUGGUACAUCUUCAGAGUUUCGGGCAUCUGCCCUGCCACGUGUCUCAAACAGAUGCUAGAGUGCCCAGAGGCACGCUGUGUGGGCCAGUAGCAUAAACCCGUCAGAAGCCAACCUCUCCAAACCGUGUCCAGCAGCAGAGUCAGGAGAUUAAUCUACCCUGUGAAAGUGUGUGCCAAAUACUUGUCAGAAGACAGUCAUGUGCCAGGCCGUUUCUGGCAGCGAUGGUACGUAUUCAGCUGCCAUAGUUACCAACAAUGUACUAAUCACGUUGUGUGUGAGAACCAACUGUGUACAGAGCCAGCCAUGCUUGCAAAUAAACUCAAUUAAGCCUUCAGUA